rnacentral:tRNA from 1 species
GGGGCUGUAGCUCAGUUGGGAGAGCGAAUGGUUCGCACUCAUUAGGUCGGGAGUUCGAUCCUCCUCAGCUCCACCA